ACGAACCACUUAUCGAACCGUCCGCUGUUUUUAACAUCUCGAACCUGACGAACAAGAAGAGAAAAACGAGAGAAAGGCCUGAUGAAAAUCUUUUUUACCAGCACAUCCUGAGAGCGCACUUCUAACUAUGGAAAAAGAAGGAAAAGAAAAAAAAAUAUAUGAAGAAGAAAUGGAGAGCGCGCGAUUCAGGAAGAAGACGAAGAAAGAGAAGAGAACCGUGUCGGUGAUUGGUGGUUGAUGUUAUCUGAGAACUGCAUGCGUUAUGCUUUCUCAACACGAAUCUCUCCUCGUGUGUGUCUUCUUGCGUAAGCCAGGUGGUUUACCGAUUAUCAUUUUACGUUUUAUUCAUUCGUCGUAAUUAUUGUACUACCGCGAUCGAUAAUAGUAAUAACGUAAAACUAG
rnacentral:lncRNA from 1 species